AGCCGCCGCGGUAACACCAGCGCCACGAGUGGUAACCACGUUUAUUGGGCCUAAAGCGUCCGUAGCCGGUUUAGUAAGUCUUUUGUGAAAUUGUGCGGCUCAACCGUACAACGUGCAAGAGAUACUGCUAGGCUUGAGACCGGGAGGAGUCAGAAGUAUUCCAGAGGGAGCGGUAAAAUGUUAUAAUCUCUGGAGGACUACCUGUGGCGAAGGCGUCUGACCAGAACGGAUCUGACGGUGAGGGACGAAAGCCAGGGGAGCGAACCGGAUUAGAUACCCGAGUAGUCCUGGCCGUAAACGCUGUGAGCUAGGUGUUGCGUCAGCCACGAGCUGGCGCAGUGUCGAAAGGAAGCUGUUAAGCUCACCGCCUGGGAAGUACGGUCGCAAGACUGAACUUUAAGGAAUUGGCGGGGGAGCACCACAAGGGGUGCGGCGUGCGGUUUAAUCUAACUCAACGCAGAGAACCUUACUAGAAGCGAUGGCAGGAUGAAGACCAGCUUGAAGAGUUUGUCUGACAGGCCAAGAGGUGGUGCAUGGCCGCCGUCAGCUCGUGCUGUGAAGUGUCCUCUUAAGUGAGGCAACGAGCGAGACCUGUAUCUUCAAUUGCUAGCGGCUGCUUGCAGGACCGAGCACUUUGAAGAGACUGCCCUGGAAACAGGGAGGAAGGUGCAGGCUACGGUAGGUCUGUAUGCCCCGAAUCUUCUAGGCUACACGCGCGCAACAAUGGUUGGGACAAUGGGAUGCCACUCCGAAAGGAGAAGCUAAACCUCUAAACCCAAUCCAAGUCCAGAUUGAGGCUUGCAACUCAGCCUCAUGACGACGGAAUCCCUAGUAAUCAGAAGUCAUCAUCUUCUGGUGAAUAUGUCCCUGCUCCU
rnacentral:rRNA from 1 species